UACGUAGGGUGCGAGCGUGUCCGGAAUUAUUGGGCGUAAAGAGCUUGUAGGCGGUUUGUCGCGUCUGCCGUGAAAGCCCAGGGCUUAACCCUGGGUCUGCGGUGGGUACGGGCAGACUAGAGUGUGGUAGGGGAGACUGGAAUCCUGGUGUAGCGGUGAAAUGCGCAGAUAUCAGGAGGAACACCGAUGGCGAAGGCAGGUCUCUGGGCCACUACUGACGCUGAGAAGCGAAAGCAUGGGGAGCAAACAGG
rnacentral:rRNA from 1 species